rnacentral:rRNA from 1 species
UUAAAUCAUUAAAUUAAAAAGAUUUGGCGGUAUUUUAAAUAAUUAGAGGAACCUGUAAAUUAAUUGAUAAUCCACGAUAAGAUUUACUUUAUUAUUUAUGUAUUGCUGUUUAAAAAUUAUUAUUGAUUAAAUAAUUAUUUUUUUAAUUUAAAAUAAUUCAAGUCAAAAUAUAGUUUUAUAAAGUUAUGGGUUACAAUAUAAUUUUGAAAUUGGAUUUAAUAGUAA